GAUGAACGCUGGCGGCGUGCCUAAUACAUGCAAGUCGAGCGAACAGACGAGGAGCUUGCUCCUCUGACGUUAGCGGCGGACGGGUGAGUAACACGUGGAUAACCUACCUAUAAGACUGGGAUAACUUCGGGAAACCGGAGCUAAUACCGGAUAAUAUAUUGAACCGCAUGGUUCAAUUGUGAAAGACGGUUUUGCUGUCACUUAUAGAUGGAUCCGCGCCGCAUUAGCUAGUUGGUAAGGUAACGGCUUACCAAGGCAACGAUGCGUAGCCGACCUGAGAGGGUGAUCGGCCACACUGGAACUGAGACACGGUCCAGACUCCUACGGGAGGCAGCAGUAGGGAAUCUUCCGCAAUGGGCGAAAGCUUGACGGAGCAACGCCGCGUGAGUGAUGAAGGUCUUCGGAUCGUAAAACUCUGUUAUUAGGGAAGAACAAAUGUGUAAGUAACUAUGCACGUCUUGACGGUACCUAAUCAGAAAGCCACGGCUAACUACGUG
rnacentral:rRNA from 1 species